GAAUUAUCUUACGCAUAUAUUAGAGAAGAUAGUGCCAAUGGCGAAAUAUAUUAUUCUGGGAUCUUUUUCUAAAAUAUCGUUUGGAGAGUGUACUAUCCAGAUGGUGGAAAUCGCGAGGAGCAGAAGCAAAGAACAACCGGCAAAUUGGACACGAGCGCACUGACGUAAAACAACAUUUCAAACAUCAUUCCCGCUGAUAUACCGCCUGGCAAUUCAAAUUUCCAGGCUUCAUGUCCACCUAUACUGUAUGAAGUACAUUCGUAACGGCGAAACGCUGUGAUCCGUUCUGCCGAAGACCGAGUACAUGCACACGGUAAUCAACAUGGCUGUCCAACUGUCUAACCCAUGAUCGAACAGCUCUCCUAAAGGCCCAGAAGUUUGCGUACGUCUUGCCUGCUUACCGUCUAUUCCAUCUAUAAUACAAGAGUUAUAAAUAGGUAUCUAAAAUUAUUGUUCGGAGCUCUACUUUGACAUAAGGUUUGUUAGUGAGUUAUAUUUUUUAUUAUUAUUAUCCUAAUUUUACUUUAUUUAAAAAUUUGCAUAUUAUUUAAAUCUAGUCAGAUUUGUUACUUUUAUUUUCAAACCAGAGAUCAGAUUUGAUAACUCGUUAAAAUUACUUCAAUUAUGUUCUCACACAUUCAAACUGACUAUAAUAAGAUUAUAGCAUAUUACAACUUUAACAUUUAAAUAGAUUAUCAGUACUAAUAUACAAAAGGUACACCUACCAAGCGUAUACGCCAUGAAAAUGUUAAAAGCAGCCACAGCAAAAACCCAUUGCGGUAUUGGUGGGUAUUCUGGGUUGUCAUCACUGGACGCAUAAAAAUAGUAAUCGUAACCAGCAAAUAACAUAAAGUUCAACACGG